rnacentral:misc_RNA from 1 species
AACGAGGCCGACCUGCGGCUGAGUUACCUGCGGAGGGAUCAUUAUAGAGUUUUCUAAACUCCCAACCCAUGUGAACUUACCUUUUGUUGCCUCGGCAGAAGUUAUAGGUCUUCUUAUAGCUGCUGCCGGUGGACCAUUAAACUCUUGUUAUUUUAUGUAAUCUGAGCGUCUUAUUUUAAUAAGUCAAAACUUUUAACAAUGGAUCU